rnacentral:snoRNA from 1 species
UCCCUCCAGAUUCCUUAGCCCUCAAACCUAAACAGUGGUGUGAGUGGCUUAAAGAAAAAAGGAGGAAAGUGAAACUGAAAUGGACUUGGUGUUCUUGCAACAGACAAGUUCACUACACACAAUA